rnacentral:rRNA from 1 species
UACGUAGGGUGCAAGCGUUGUCCGGAAUUAUUGGGCGUAAAGAGCUCGUAGGCGGUCUGUCGCGUCGGAUGUGAAAACCCAGGGCUCAACCCUGGGCCUGCAUUCGAUACGGGCAGACUAGAGUUCGGUAGGGGAGACUGGAAUUCCUGGUGUAGCGGUGAAAUGCGCAGAUAUCUGGAGGAACACCGGUGGCGAAGGCGGCAUCCUGGACCGGUAUUGACGCUGAGGCGCGAAAGCCAGGGGAGCAAACGGG